rnacentral:siRNA from 1 species
UAAAGCCAAAGACUCAUACGGAC